GGGAGAGUUAGAAGCAAGCCACGUGGGUGACUUCUUUUCAAAGUUCUCUGCCUCAGAGGAGGAAGCCCCAUGGGUGGAGGCCAGGCCCGAGGCCAUCCUGCUCUGGGCCAGAGCGUGCCUGUGUCUGAUGAGCGAGGACAUGCCUCGUCUGGCUGAGCCUUCCAUUUCACACCGGCAGCUCGAACCCCCCAUCACGGCUUCCUUUUGGGCUCCCCUCCUCAGGGGACCGAGCUUGAAAUGUGCUUGCCCUUCAUCCCUAAGGCCUGCGUCCCUUCCUCAGAGAGGACUAAGCCCCUCUCCCAGUCUUGAUGUUCUCCGAGGCCCUUCUUAUUCACAGAACCUAUCUGGCUUAUUUAUUCGCUUGCUUGCUUCUGAUGUCUUCUCUUACUGAAAGGAAUCGAAGGGCCAAGGAAUGUGUUUUUCGUUGAUGUCAACUUGCUGCAAAGGACCACACCUGCUUCUCGACCCAGGAACGUGGGAAAGGGAAAGGCUUGGCUUGUUUUGGUGGAGAUGGAGAUGCUGGUAACAGUGGAGGAAUGCCCUCCUUCUGAUUCACAGUGGGGAGGUGCUCUGGGCCCCUGCCACUGCCCGAGGACUUCAGCUUUUGGUUGUCCUGCUGAGAGGAUGCGGCAUUUGAGCAGUAGCUUCUGGAGCCCAGAGUGAAGCCCCACCCAGGCACCCUGACAGGACCACAGGAAUGCUCCUGGCACAGCAAGCAGGACUCUUGAGAAGCUCAGCCUCCACGCUCCUUGUAGAUGUUCAGUUCAAACUCCACAGUUUGUGUGACUCACUGAAGGGCUUGGUUUGGCUCUCGCUGACGAGUCUGUCAUCGGUGCCAGAAUCCUGUUCCCAGUGGGUAAUGGGUUUAAAAGCCCAUAGCUGAGUUUAUCCACAUUGGAUCCGACCCACAUUCCAAUGCUCUUUAGACAACCGGGUUUCACCGUGUUAGCCAGGCUGGCCUCAAACUCCUGACCUCAAGUGAUCCACCCGCAUCGACCUCACAAAGUGCUUGGAUUACAGGUGUGAGCUACUGUGCCAGGCCAGAAAAAAUAAAAUAAAAUAAAAUAAAGAC
ensembl:lncRNA LINC01348 long intergenic non-protein coding RNA 1348